rnacentral:rRNA from 1 species
AGCGAACGCUGGCGGCAGGCUUAACACAUGCAAGUCGAACGCUCGUAGCAAUACGGGAGUGGCAGACGGGUGAGUAACGCGUGGGAAUAUGCCUUUUGGUUCGGAAUAACUCAGGGAAACUUGAGCUAAUACCGGAUAAGCCCGUGAGGGGAAAGAUUUAUCGCCAAAAGAUUAGCCCGCGUCCGAUUAGCUUGUUGGUGAGGUAAUGGCUCACCAAGGCGACGAUCGGUAGCUGGUCUGAGAGGAUGAUCAGCCACAUUGGGACUGAGACACGGCCCAAACUCCUACGGGAGGCAGCAGUGGGGAAUAUUGGACAAUGGGCGCAAGCCUGAUCCAGCCAUGCCGCGUGAGUGAUGAAGGCCUUAGGGUUGUAAAGCUCUUUUGUCCGGGAAGAUAAUGACGGUACCGGAAGAAUAAGCCCCGGCUAACUUCGUGCCAGCAGCCGCGGUAA